GGCUGGUAGGGGGACGCGCGGGGGGGGCGCGGCCGAGGGCAAAGCUGCGCGCUGGCCAGGCGGCUGCGGGCCCUGCCUUUCUCCGCUUGCUCCGACGCCGCGUUCUUGGCUAGGAUUUUCUCGUGAUUCCGAGUCUCUUGGCCCACACCUCUUACAGUUCUCUGGAACGUGGCUGCUGAUACACCCCCCUCCUCGAGGCAAGUAGAUACCGGAGUCCGUUACCACCUCCCCCUUCAGCGUAGUGGAAACUACUGCCCUCGGGCGGGGGCCGCAGGGGGCGGGAGCAGAAAAGUGACGAAUGGAUCGGAGAAGGGAACAUAAAUGCGUGGGUAAAUACCUAGGAGUGGAAUUGAUGAGUAAUAUGAUCCAGGGAAGGAAGAAAACAAGAAGGCAAACACCAGACUACGUGUGAGGCUGUCACUGGAAACUGAAGGCUGACCCUUGCCUUUUUACCUUCCUCGACUGCAGCCCUAGGGGGAUUACUUCAGAAAGGCAUGGGGGCCCUGAAAUGGAGGGUGCCUGUGCUAUAGCGUGCUGGACCUGCCUUGUUCCAGCUUGUGAGAACCAAUUGUUAAAUUUUUUGGAGUUUUGUGAGCUUGUUGGUGACAUGUUGGUAACUUGAAAUCCACCAGGGUAAGAGGUUUACUCUCUGGAAGUUGGCAAAUGCUACAACCUGCCCACUCCCUCCACUGCCCUGGAGAGCCAGUUGUUAAACAUUUAUCAGCACCCCACUGAAUCUGUGGAAUAUAGAUGGGCUGCCAAGGACUGGCCGUAUUCUGAAAUUUCACAUCAUGUGUAAAAUUUGUGGGGUGAUACCUCCAGGAAGAUGGGUGUCAGUCAGCCUCCCAGGGCUCUGCCUAUCUUUUUGUGCCAUGGUGAGGCAUCCAAGAGCAAGACAGAAGUAGUAAAGUAUCUUAGACAAGGCUAGUAAGUGACCUGAGGUCCCAGAGUGGUAUGGGAGGGAAUAUCACUGUUGUCUGAGCUCCUUGGGAAGGAUAUGGCAAUGACUGAAUAAGGGCCAAGUUCGAGGGGUCAUGAGGUUGAGGCCCAGUGAUGACCUGCCAGUAGCCUGAGUGAUGAAUGACCUGGAACUAGGUAAGCUGUGUAUCUCACAGAAUGUUGAUGUUGAUGGAUGACACCUCACAUCUCCAGCCACUCUCUUCAUCCUGACAUCCGGGCACAACUCUGCAAGCCCCUGGCACUUAAACUUGAUCCCAGGGAACAAGAAGGAUAAAUGUUUCAAUUAGAGUAGUGUGUGAGCACCCACCUUGGGUGCAGAAUUUAAUGAGGUGGCAAAAAAAGUUAGAAGGGGGAGGAAAACAUCAUUCUAAGGGUCAGAUACAGGGAAGGUGAAUAGAAGGGAGGGUGUUGAUCGAGAAUGGUUUUUGCGGUGGAUUUAAUGAAGUAGGUCAGUACGUCUAAUUGUAAGUACAAGUUUAUAAUAUAAGUCACCCAUAUGAUUCCUCAGCAAAACCCAAAGUGAGCAAAGAAUUUAAUCUCUUUGUUUUCUUUCAUUUGUGGAUGUGCUUAUGUAUUUUUUUAAAAUAAUUACAUAUAGGGCAUUUCCAAUUUUUUUUAUUUUUU